GGAAGAACUGUGCUGCAGGGAGGAACAGCUUCGUGGAAAACCAGUGAGAAGAUAGGACCCGUAGAAGUAAACUCAGUGAGGAAGGGAUAAAACACAAAAGACUGGAGAACCAAAAAAAUUUGGACCUAUGUGGCUUGUGACCCUAAGCUGACACAGCAUUUGUCUAUGGGAUUUGUAACCGAUGCCAUCUGAUGUCAGCCAUCUGUGACUUCCUGUAACAUGUGCUUUAAUGAAAUGAAAGGAGCCCAAAUAAAAGUAACAAAUCCCAUCUUACUCCUACUUGCACAGCAAGGAGCCAGUGAAAGCUCCCCAGCAAAUGUCAGGAGGUUACAGCUCCCUGACUCAGUGGGUUCAAGGUGCAGGAGACUGGGCCAAGGAAAAUCUCAUUUCCCAACUGUUGGUAGCAGCUGAUCCCACUCCCUCCUGCUUUUGCAGUUGGAAAGAACAACUGGUGCUGUGACACCAAAGGAGCUGAGCAGUGACAGAGGAUGGCUCUCCCCAUGUUGAACCAGUCUGUUCAAGCAUCUACAGGCAGAUGCCACACAAUUCCUUCCAGAAAAUGCAGAGAAAUCAGCAAUCCACAUUUCUGCAGGCUCUGGAGAAGACUGUUUCUGGAAUCACCUUGUCUUAUGGCACCAUGGAAUCUGCUACUGCUCCAAAGAGGAGGCAAACAGUAACAGCUCUGCUGUUCCAAAAGGAAGAAUGAAACAUCAGACCAAGUGUUUAACCUUCCACAGGGGUUAAAGGAGAAAUAGAAAUUCAAAAUCUGUAUUUACCAAAGACUAUAUUCUAAGAAGUCUUGAAUUCAGACUGAAAGCACAUUCACCUGGAUGAACUUCAUGUUACUGAAGCACCUUAAAAGCAUCAAGUUACCAAUAACAAGAACUGGACCACAUCCUUCAAGGUAUUUUUUAAUUUUAAAUUUGUAUUUUAAAAUGGAUGUUUCUGCACUAUUUACAACUACAUUUCUGGUUUUGCCAGUUCUUAUAAUUUCUCUUCCUGAAAAGGCCCUUGUUCAAAAAACCAAUCUGGCUUAUUCUCAUAUGGUGUUGUAUAUUUAUUAAGCAACUCUACAUUUUUGAUAGUUUUCAUUCUCAAAAUGAUGAGCAAAAUUUUGCAAGUGAGGAACAAGAAGUACUUUCCUCAAAACUCACAGUAUCUGCACUAAGAUAAUGCAAACCCCACCUCCUUUUGUUUUUGUUUCAGCAUUUCUUCUUCAAACUGUUUCUGCAGUUGUGCUUUUUCUCGUGCCAGGCGCAGC